rnacentral:rRNA from 1 species
UACAGAGGUCUCAAGCGUUGUUCGGAUUCAUUGGGCGUAAAGGGUGCGUAGGUGGCGGGGCAAGUUUGGUGUGAAAUCCCGGGGCUCAACCCCGGAACUGCACUGAAUACUGCCUUGCUUGAGCACUGGAGAGGGAACUGGAAUUUACGGUGUAGCAGUGAAAUGCGUAGAUAUCGUAAGGAAGACCAGUGGCGAAGGCGAGUUCCUGGACAGUUGCUGACACUGAGGCACGAAGGCUAGGGGAGCAAACCGGGAGUUAGAA